UACGUAGGGUGCGAGCGUUUAAUCGGAAUUACUGGGCGUAAAGCGUGCGCAGGCGGUUGGUUAAGUCUGAUGUGAAAUCCCCGGGCUUAACCUGGGAAUGGCAUUUGGGACUGCAAAGCUUGAGUGUGGCAGAGGGGACUGGAAUUCCUGGUGUAGCAGUGAAAUGCGUAGAGAUCAGGAGGAAUACCGAUGGCGGAAGGCAGGUCCCUGGGCUGACACUGACGCUCAUGCACGAAAGCGUGGGGAGCAAACAGGA
rnacentral:rRNA from 1 species